GGCACACUAUUUUGCUAAUAUUCAUGUGCGUUGGUUGAAAUAUGUUAGGGCAAUGACCUCAAACCCAUUGAUCUUCUUACUGAAAUGCCAGACGACAUUCUCUCUUUCAUUCUCUCGUUUUUGAGUAUUAGAGAUUCUGUCAAGGCAAGGAUAGUGUCUGGAAGAUGGAGACAUAUCUGUCCAUUCAUGUUGAAUCGUGAUUUUGAUCUUCAUACCGUGCUCGGAAUCAACCACAAAGCAAGGUACUCAAAGAGUAAUUUUGUAACUGGAGUUGAUCAAUUUUUGGAGACAUACAAGCUAGACUCUCUCAGGAUCUGUUUUUGUCUUGGUAACGAGUACGCUGGUAACGUUGACAGGUAGAUUAGAUUUGCAAUUAUAAUGAAAACUGAAAAGUUUGAUCUUGAUUUUCCCUGUCAGCUUCGUCCUCAAGGUGAUUCAUCUCAAUUAAAGUAUUUGUGCCUAAAAUCAUGCAACCUAAGGCCUACCCCUAAUCUCCCUAAAAUCCCUUGAUUUAGAACAUGUGCCUCUAAAUCAAAGUUGUGCUAACAGUAUCCUUUCUAGUUGUUUAAACUUUGAAUGGUUGAGGCUAAAGAACAGUAUUCUACCUGAAACUUUAUGCAUUCAUGGUCCAUCCCUACAUUUGAAGAUUUUGAUUGUGCACGAAUGCUAUGGAGUAGAGAAGAUUGAGAUUUCUUCUAUUUGUCUUACCACAUUUGAAUAUACGGGUAAAGUGAAAAACUUCUGUUUUCUUGACGUUCCUCGGCUGGAAAAAGUGCAUAUCAGGUUCAUGGUUGCAUGAGAGGGGCACACAAUAUAUGUUCAAUGGCAUUGCAAAUGAUCUUCCUUGCUUCAAACCCUAUCACUAGUUUUGACAACAGAUGAGGUCCUCCCAAUACCUGCAAGGAUUACUAGAUUCAACUCUCUCAAACAAUUGGAGUUGUUUGCUAUGUUGCAAGAAGUGGUGGUGGGGACAGGAGCGGGAGCAAGGGCAUAUAAAAGUUUCUGAGGUUGGGAGCGCCUAUGGGAGCGUGUAUAUAUUAAAUAUAUAAAUAUAUUCUAAUAAUUAUGUUUUUUGUUUAGUUGUAAUAUAUUUGUUAAAAUAUGAAUUAUUAUUGGAGAUUGAUGUCUACUAUAAAUUGUCUUUGUUAAGUAUAAAUAAAUAUUAUGUAAAUAGGAAGUGCUAGAAUAAGAUUUAGCGUUUUUUUUAUUUAUUUUUAUUUUUUAUUUUUAAAGAUUUGUAUGCUUGAGAGGUUCUAUCUUUAGAUGGGAGAGAUUUUUUUCCUCGAUGGGAGUGAGUUUCUUAUAGGUUUCUUACUUGGGAGCGCAGAAUCCCGUGUCUUAGUAAGAAGCGUCACCCAAGUAGGAGUUUGCAUUCACUUUUACAAUUGCUAAGGUGUUUUUUUAAGAGUAAUGCUGUACAUAAUCUCAUUUUUUAUCCUAUUUUCUCACUCUUAGACAGAAUGCAAUGGGACCCACGUUAAUAAAUGCACAUGGGAUCCACUUACUUGUGCCUAAAGGUGAGAAAAUACAUUAAGAAAUGAGAUAUGCUGAUAAUAAAUUGAAACUAGUAAAAAAAAAAGAGAGAGCUGAGAGCAGGCACUUGUUUGAGAGAUUUACUUUAUGUUGGUUUUUGUCAAAGAAAGUAGGUCUAGGAAAAAGGUAGCAAUGAGAACUGAUAGGUUUGUAGGAUAAAUCCAUCUUAAUCUCCAAACAGUCAUGUAAGGCCAAUAAACAAUCCAACUCCUUGUCCAUUGGGCAUACAUUCGAGUGCGGCUUGGGUGGAUGUAGUCAGCCACUGUUAUACCAUUCGUUAUGUAUUCAGGGCUAAUGGACUUGCCAACUCCUUGUCUACUGGGCAUAAAUGUAAGAAACAAAAUAUUGAUUCUAGUUCUAUUAUAAGUUAUGGGUUUGAAUCUAACAGAAAUUCUAGAAAAUGUUCGCUACAUGAAAAUUUUGGUUUUGAAGCCAACGUUAAUUUCUUUUUUGGGCUAAUUACAUAGACCUCCCUUAAGGUUUCUAACAAUUACAUGGACCUCUUUUGUAGUUUUUGAAAUUACACGGCCUCCUUGUCAGAGUUGUCAAGAAACAAUUAUUGACAAUGGUUGUGAUUUUACACAUUUACCCCUGCUAGUUAACCUAACUUAAACAUCCUACCCACACAUCCAAACAUCAUCAUCUUCUUCUUCCUUCGUCUCUGUGUUUCCUUUUCUCUUUUCUCGCUCUCACAGUUGCAACCACCUCUCCAACACAACCCCUCUUCAUUUUCCUCCAUUGUCACAACCAUUGUCUAUCGACAACCAUAAUCACUGUCUCUCUACCAAUCCCUUCCUCUUCUUGUCUGUCCCCUCUCCACCACCACACCCAGCACAGCGAGCACCCUAACACCUAUCUCCACUGCCAUAAUCAAGUUAUUUCGCCACAAAAUCACAACCCAUUGCUAUUAACAACCCACCACUACCACUUCCUAUAGUUGGCGAAAAUUGGAUGUGGUGCACCACCACCGCAAGCCACGGUUGAUGUGUGAAUUGGAUUUUAUACACUGCAAGCUCUAGCCUCCCACCGUUGUGACCACCACACAUGUACAUAUACAAACCCUCUUUUCCCUCUCUCUAUAUCUCUCCUUAUGGAUUAUUGUUCUAUUUAUUAAAACCAUGAUAGGCCUUUUAUUAUUGAGGCAUGAGUGAUCGGUGAAGAAGAAUGGAUAUUGGGUUUGGUGAAUGGGUGGUUUAUUUGUUGUUACAGUGGCAUUUGUGAUGGUGAUAUAGUGAUAGGUAAGCGUUGGGGUGGUGGCGGUGCUAGGAUUUCGCAGAGAAGGUUGUGGGAACUGGGAAUUGCAAUGGUUGCGGUGAUUGUAACUUUGCACCAGAGCUAUUGUGAAUUUCGCAAAGAAACUUUUCUGUUAAUUGAAUCAAAAGCAGCAGUGCUAUGCAUCUGUGCUAAUCUAUCUAUAUGUAAAUGUAAGUGUAAAUAUAGUUAUAUAUAGAGUAGCAAUAUACAUGUAUAUAUAAGUAAUUUGAUGUUGAAUCCAUGAGAACAAUUUGAGAGAGAGAAAAUGCAUUUGAGAGAGAGGAGAAAGAUUCAAUGCAUGUUAGAGGGAAAAAAAAGGAAGAAGAGAUUUAUGAGGUUGGGUAGUCGCAGUUUAGAGGGGAAGAGUAAUGGAGAGGGAAGAGGCAGUGGGGCCAGAGGGGGUAUUGGGUGUUUGAUUGUGGUGUGAAGUUAUGAGAUGGGUGUGUUUGGUUACAAUGAUAUCAAGGGCACUUUUGGCAUUUAAACAACAAAAUUAGUUUCAUCAUUGUAUUUUGUUAGUAUAUUUAAUGGAGACAAUAUGGGGGUUGCAUAUUGCAUAUUGACCAAAACCUCUCAUUGGAUUCAAAAAGAGUCUCAUCAUCACAUUUACACUUUUUUCGUUAUCUCAUUCAAGACAAAAAGACUUGCUUCUAAAAAUUAUUUUGAUUAUGAAGGUUAGAGAUAUUGCUAUGACUUUUAAAUAAAAAAUUAUUGUAUUAGAAAAUAAAAACUAGUAUUAAAAAAUAAAAAAAACUGUACAAAAAUUUAUGAAGGGCCCCAAUUAGAUUUUUCACCUUGGGGGUCUCAAAUAAGUUUGAGUCGCCUUUGCCCUUAGGUGUAUGUCACGCCAUGAAGAUUCCCUCAGAUUCACAAUAUUUGAGUAUUAUAAAUUUGUUGGUGUGAUGCACCUCUGAUUUGAGAUUGUGUUUGUGUUAUGUUCAUGUAAAUUGGAGCAAAUACUAUGUACCAUGUUCUUGUAGGGAGAAGACUACAGUAGGUGACCUGAAGUCCCAAAUUGAAAUUGGAAUGAAGUUGAGGGAAUCCUUGAUGUGUGGGUAAAAGAAUAGACCACAUGGUUGAUGAAGGAAAAAUUGCUUCCUGAGGUUUGAGAAAUGAGCUUGCUAACGUGAAUGAGUACUCCUAAGUUCUGCACCUCAAAAUCGAGGUUAGUUCCUGACUGAUUGUGUUGUUGACCAGAGGGCACUCUGCUGCUCAACCAAAAUGGUCAACAAUGCUCUAAUGAUCAUAACCAAAAACCUCAUACCUUUGACCCUUGGAGGUGUAGCCUUUAUAUAGGAAUGCCAUCCUGCUUCUAAAUGUUUCCUUUUCCAUUUAGGAAUACACUUGCCCAGCAAGUAUUCCCUAUCCGAGAUACUUUUCUAAUUAGAUUGUGGCGACUCAGAGGUUGCCAUCAACCACGAGGACACCACUGUGGUUUUUUUUUUUUUCCCUUCCCCCUUUUCGUAUACUAACUUCAACUUAGCCCACUAAUGUGAGAGCAUAUCACCCCGGCUGGAUUACUGUAUGCCCACCACUGUGAGCAUUGUUGUCGGCUGUGUCCCAGACCUCAAGUUACUUAGUACUUCACUCUAAAAGCUAUUAUGGAUACCUUGAGUGAACCUUGUUUGUGGUCCUACUAACCUCGACUAAGCUUUUUAUCAGCUUCUUGCCUUUGCAAGGGACAUUACUUUAAUACAUUCAAGUUGACCACAACCUGCGCUCACACCAAUUGAGCCUUGGAAGUGCACCCAAACAUGUGUUCUUUCCCGAACUGGGCUUUUUCUCCUCACCUUUCUCGACUGAGAAUGCCAUUACUUCGGGGCCUUGCCCCAAGACAACAAUUUACACAAACAAUUGCCUUCCAAAUUAUUGAGCCUAUAUGCUCGAACUUCGGCAAUCGUCGUUACAAUAUAUUCUCAUUGCUCUCAUGCUGCGACUUUUCUCUUUUUACAAUGGGUUUCAGUGAACUUGACCUUAGAUAUGGCAAUCUUGGGUAUUCUUCGGGUGAGUUUUGCUCGGAUGAGCUUUGCUUUUCUUGAGCAUGGAGACUUAUCUUCUCGAGCUUCACCACCUAUCCAGUGAGGGCCUCGAGGGCAUGGUUGUGGUGUGGCACUUCUUGCAUCUGUGAUAGCUACUUUCCAUUCUUAGCCCCAUUGGCCUUCACUUGUGAAUUUGUUCCACGUUGUGACCGAUUCUAUUGUCCUUUGCGUCCUCUUCGCCUAUGCCUUCGUGUUGAGCUUUGGUACAUCUUGUCCUCGUUUUUCACAAAUAGCGCCAAAUUGUGGGUAAAAAUUGGACCACAUGGUUGAUGGUGUGAAUUAAUACUCCUGAACUCUACAUCUGCAAAAUUUAGGUAAGCACUCGUUCAAUCUUUUCGUCGGCCAGAGGACACUUCGAUGCUCAAGUCAACAACUCCUCGAAGAACACCAAAAUGCUCAAGAAUGCUCUAAUGCUCUUAACUAGAUACUCAAACCUCAACGCUUGGGGGUGUAGCCUUUAUAUAGGAGUGUCAUUCCACUUUUACAAAUUUUCUUUUCCAUCUACGAAUACACUUGCCUAGCAAGGACACCUUCCUACGUAGAUUAGGUUCUACUUCUCAAGGUAACAUUUCCUUAUCCAAUUAGUUGGUUCCUUCUCACACUAAGAUUACACAUCCUUGGUAUCAUAUUUUGACUAGGCUUUGACCACUGCCCUCACCUGUGCGGUUCGUGUUUCGCCACGUGGUAUCUCUAUCAGAGGUCAUGCUGCAUCAUCCGACCUUGAACCCACUUGGUCCUGCUUAAAAAAUACAUCCCCACAUUUUAUGGAAGAAAGGCUUUCUCAAAAUUUUGCUUUAACUGGCUUAGUAGUUAAAUUUUUAUUUAAUUAAGGCAAGAGGGUUGAAACAUUACAAUUUUGACACUUUGAGAAAUGUAUGAUUUCACUCAUUUUAAAAUCAUUUUCAGACUUUCUAAACUUGGUGGAAUAUCUACCCUGCCACGAUUAAAUUUGGUUUAGAACCCAUGUCCUAACACAAGUGCGAGUUGGUUUGGGGAGGGGGCUUUAUCUUAGGGCUGGUUGACACAAUGGCACCCCAUUGCAAACCUGACCCAUUGCGACCCCCUAGAGAUGUCAAUUUAUGGUAUAACAACCAUUGUUUUGCAGUCUGGUAGAUAUGUACAAUUGAAAAUUGUGCUUAUCUUUGUAUGUCAAUGUGAAUGAUAACAACAUUUUUUGUAGUGUUGCUGAGUUUGCAUUGAAAGUUCCAAUUACCGCUGGUAUUUGACCAUUUGGUUUGAUGUGGUCUACCAUUUAACCCACUAAUUAUGCAUGCUAGAACUAAAGUAAACAGAUGCUACAGUUGAACCUUGAGCUUGAAUUCAAUUAGCAUUUCUUUUAUGCAAAAUUAUGGCCAAUGAUCAAAUUUUGUUUUGGCGUGUUGUUUUGGUUAGCAUGGACAUGUUUUGGAAGCAACAGACAAAAUGAGAAUCGAAUUUGGAAACGUAUGGAAAUAUUUAGAAACACAAACUAAAACCUGUCGAGGUUUGUGCAUAUCUUUACAUAAAGGGCACAACUAUUCAAUCCUGAAGUAAAUGCUAUCCAAGAAUUGUUAUGCAAUCUGGAUUUAUAAGAAGGUGCAUACUUCAGGAUUGCAUAGUUGUAACAAAGAACGAAUUUUAAGUGAUUAAACAUGCUUGUUUAUCUUCUCCUCUCUCUCAUGUCCUACUUCCUGAUAAAUUUAAGAAUUUUCUUUGUUUUUAAAUGUCUUUCUAUUAACAAAAAGCGGCAAAUAGAAAUAAUUAUUGUUGGAUAGUCAUAGUAGGUGGUGAAAGGACUCAUUGUUUCAUUGCCUAUCAAUGGAAACCCAGGAAUUUCGGUAUUGCACUAGUUUUUUGUGUUGGUUUUCUAGGAAAAGGAGCCAUUUCAACCACUUGAUAGAAAGAAAACAAAGUUUUGUUCCUUGCUUGUGUCUGAUUUUCAAAAUGUUUAUGAGAAAAUGUCAUCAAUUAAGAUAUCUCUGGGAGCUGUAACAAAGAUUUCAAAAAGGCUAGACAGUUAAGUGAUUUUGUGGCUCAUGGUCUGCAUCACGUUAUUGUUUUUCAUGGUGAAUGGUUUUUGGGUUCAUAUUGGGGAGUUGUGUUGAGAUUUAUUUUGCAGAUUGUAAGGCCUAUAUAUACAUAUAUUUAUAUUUUGAAGUUUUUGCGUGUUCUUAUGGCUUUGUAUUUUUGGUUGUGGUAUGUGUCUUUGUUCUAGACACUCGGUAUGACAUAAUGAAGUUUCGUUAAGUGAUAGGUUAGGUUAUUUAUCAUAAAAGAACAUAAAUAUAUUUUUGGUUG